rnacentral:lncRNA from 1 species
GCUGUGGUCUGAUGACGACGUAACUCACCGGAGUUGAGUUCGCUUAGCAAGCAAUCUUGAUUUGGGGGGUGGCGUUAAAGAGACAAAGAGAGAAAGAGGAGUGGCGUUAUUAUCAUCAGACAAAGCGAGGAAAAGAGUGACGUUAUUAUCAAUCAGAGAGUGGCAUUAAGGAGAGAGAGGCGAACAGUACACGGGAAGGAGAGUGUGGG